GUCUACAGCCAUACCACCCUGAAACGCACCGGAUCUCGUCUGAUCUUGGAAGCUAAGCAGGGUCGGGCCUGGUUAGUGCUUGGAUGGGAGACACAUCUUCAGAGGCUGUUCUAC
rfam:Dipodomys ordii contig_1622, whole genome shotgun sequence.